CUGUUGCCUCGGCGGGGUCACGCCCCGGGUGCGUCGCAGCCCCGGAACCAGGCGCCCGCCGGAGGAACCAACCAAACUCUUUCUGUAGUCCCCUCGCGGACGUAUUUCUUACAGCUCUGAGCAAAAAUUCAAAAUGAAUCAAAACUUUCAACAACGGAUCUCUUGGUUCUGGCAUCGAUGAAGAACGCAGCGAAAUGCGAUAAGUAAUGUGAAUUGCAGAAUUCAGUGAAUCAUCGAAUCUUUGAACGCACAUUGCGCCCGCCAGUAUUCUGGCGGGCAUGCCUGUCCGAGCGUCAUUUCAACCCUCGAACCCCUCCGGGGGAUCGGCGUUGGGGAUCGGGACCCCUCACACGGGUGCCGGCCCCGAAAUACAGUGGCGGUCUCGCCGCAGCCUCUCCUGCGCAGUAGUUUGCACAACUCGCACCGGGAGCGCGGCGCGUCCACGUCCGUAAAACACCCAACUUUCUGAAAUGUUGACCUCGGAUCAGGUAGGAAUACCCGCUGAACUUAAGCAUAUCAAUAAGCG
rnacentral:rRNA from 1 species